rnacentral:rRNA from 1 species
GAUGAACGCUAGCGGCAGGCUUAAUACAUGCAAGUCGAGGGGCAUCAAGGUACACGAAAGUGUAUUGUUGGCGACCGGCGGACGGGUGAGUAAUAGGUAGGUAACCUACCUCAUACUGAGGCAUAGCUGGGAGAAAUUCCAGGUAAUUCCUCAUGAGGUUAUAUGACACAUGUGAUAUAAUCAAAGGUAUCGCAAGGUACUGGUAUGAGAUGGGCUUACUGACCAUUAGCUAGUUGGUGAGAUAAGAGCUCACCAAGGCGAAGAUGGUUAGGGGUUUUGAGAGAGAGAUCCCCCACAUUGGAACUGAGAUACGGUCCAGACUCCUACGGGAGGCAGCAGUAGGGAAUAUUGGGCAAUGGGCGGAAGCCUGACCCAGCCAUGCCGCGUGAAGGAAGACGGCCUUAUGGGUUGUAAACUUCUUUACUAUGCGACUAACUAGAUUUACGAGAUAAUUCUAAUAGAAUGUAGCAUAGCAAAAGCACCGG